AGAUUGAUGGUGUCCUGGAAAAUGAGAGCUUUCCAAAAAGAUCUAAAGAACAGCUAAUAAUCAUGGCUAUUCAAACUGUGUCCCAUGGACCAGCAGCAUUGACAUUACCUGGGAGCUUGUUCAAAAUGCAGAAUCUUGGGCCGCAGCCCAGACCUACUGAAUCAAAAGCUACAUUUAACAAGAUAACCCAGGCUCCUUCCCUCCGGAUUUCAUUCUGUUUAUAAAUAUUGAAGCUGAAAUGUAAACCACUUUGAAACUCUUCUCCCGAAGGCCUGCAUGUCCUGUUCCUGGAACAGUAGGACCGCAAAAGGCAACUGGGUAUCUUGUAAUGCCACCUCCGAGCUGAGUGAUCCAGGGCACACUGCUUCCAAUGUCUGAGCCCCAGUUUCCCCAUCACUAAGGUG